rnacentral:rRNA from 1 species
UGAAUACGAGACGCUAAGGCGUCGAAGUAGUGUAUGUCAUACUUCCAAGAAAAGCUUGCACUGUCAUAGAUAAAAAACGCCUGUACCAUAACCGACACAGGUGGGUAGGUAGAGUAUACUAAGGGGCGCGAGAUAACUCUCUCUAAGGAACUCGGCAAAAUAACUCCGUAACUUCGGGAGAAGGAGUGCCUUAUUCGUAAGGUUGCAAUAACAAGAUCCAAGCAACUGUUUAUCAAAAACACAGGUCUCCGCUAAGUCGUAAGACGAUGUAUGGGGGCUGACGCCUGCCCAGUGCCAGAAGGUUAAAGAAGUUGGUUAGCAAUUGCGAAGCUGAUAACUGAAGCCCUGGUGAACGGCGGCCGUAACAAUAACGGUCCUAAGGUAGCGAAAUUCCUUGUCGGGUAAGUUCCGACCCGCACGAAAGGCGUAAUGAUUUGGAUACUGUCUCGGAGAGGGGCUCGGUGAAAUAGACUUGCCUGUGAAGAUGCGGACUACCUGCACCAGGACAGAAAGACCCUAUGAAGCUUUACUGUAACUUGAAAUUGAAAUUGGACUUUAUUCGCGCAGUAUAGGUGGGAGGCGUUGAUUAUAAUCUUGUGGGAUUAUUGGAGCCAUCAGUGAGAUACCACUCUUGUAAUGUUAGAUUUCUAACUUUGAAUCAUUAUCUGGUCAAAGAACAGUUUCAGGCGGGCAGUUUGACUGGGGCGGUCGCCUCCUAAACGGUAACGGAGGCGUACAAAGGUUUCCUCUGAACGGUUAGAAAUCGUAUCUAGAGUGUAAAGGCAUAAGGAAGCUUGACUGUGAGACCUACAAGUCGAGCAGGGACGAAAGUCGGUCUUAGUGAUCUGACGGUACUGAGUGGAAAGGCCGUCACUCAACGGAUAAAAGUUACUCUAGGAUAGCAGGCUGAUCUCCCCCAAGAGUUCACAUCGACGGGGAGGUUUGGCACCUCGAUGUCGGCUCAUCGCAUCCUGGGGCGGUAGUACGUCCCAAGGGUUGGGCUGUUCGCCCAUGAAAGCGGUACGCGAGCUGGGUUCAGAACGUCGUGAGACAGUUCGGUCCAUAUCCGGUGUAGGCGUUAGAAUAUUGAGAGGAGCCUUCUUUAGUACGAGAGGACCGAGAAGGACAUACCUCUGGUGUACCAGUUAUCGUGCCAACGGUAAACGCUGGGUAGCCAUGUAUGGAGUGGAUAACCGCUGAAAGCAUCUAAGUGGGAAGCCCACCUCAAGAUAAG